AUAUUCUGCAUUCAUGUGUGCAUUUUUGUGUAGUGUGUCUUGAAUGACUGAGAGUUCAGCGCAUCAGCUUAAAAAAGUAAAACUAAUAAUUCCGCAAAACUCCGUGAAUUUGGCCGGAAAAACCUUAACAGCAGUGAAAGAUUUUCACACCGAGGCCGUCAACGAAGAGAGUGAUAAAGUUCGACAGAUUCCACCAUCCGACCGGACAAAAACCGGAGCAGUUCUAGCGGAAACAAGCUGAACACUCCGCUGGAACAACCAGCACCACAUCAUCAAGAGUCGCAGUCGCAGCAGUAAACUUGGCUGAAGAAAAACAUUUGUGUUUUGGUUUUGUUCAAGUGAACAGAACACGACUUCCUGGAUCGCACCAAAAGUAAUCUACGAUGGCUCCUAAAUAUUCUUCCGAGGAGCACCACAGACGACGAAAUCAGGGAAUCUAACAGAAGAAAAAGCUAUUCCUCUUCGGAAGACCCGAACGUUAAGAAUUCCGG